UCCUCCCUCUUUCUUCGUGCUUAACACAUGCAAGUCGAACGGAAAGGCCCUGCUUUUGUGGGGUGCUCGAGUGGCGAACGGGUGAGUAACACGUGGGUAACCUGCCCUUGACUUUGGGAUAACUUCAGGAAACUGGGGCUAAUACCGGAUAGGAGCUCCUGCUGCAUGGUGGGGGUUGGAAAGUUUCGGCGGUUGGGGAUGGACUCGCGGCUUAUCAGCUUGUUGGUGGGGUAGUGGCUUACCAAGGCUUUGACGGGUAGCCGGCCUGAGAGGGUGACCGGCCACAUUGGGACUGAGAUACGGCCCAGACUCCUACGGGAGGCAGCAGUGGGGAAUAUUGCACAAUGGGCGGAAGCCUGAUGCAGCAACGCCGCGUGCGGGAUGACGGCCUUCGGGUUGUAAACCGCUUUCGCCUGUGACGAAGCGUGAGUGACGGUAAUGGGUAAAGAAGCACCGGCUAACUACGUG
rnacentral:rRNA from 1 species